GAUGAAGAACGCAGCGAAAUGCGAUAAGUAGUGUGAAUUGCAGAAUUCAGUGAAUCAUCGAAUCUUUGAACGCACAUUGCGGCCAUAGGUAUUCCUUUGGCCAUGCCUGUUCGAGCGUCAUUUACACCCUCAAGCCUAGCUUGGUGUUGGGCGCCUGUCCCGCCGUUUUCGCGCGCGGACUCGCCUCAAAGUCAUUGGCGGCGGUCGUGCCGGCCCCCUCGCGCAGCACAUUUGCGCUUCUCGGAGGCCCGGCGGAUCCGCGCUCCAGCAAGACCUUUCACGACUUGACCUCGGAUCAGGUAGGGAUACCCGCUGAACUUAAGCAUAUCAAUAAGCGGAGGA
rnacentral:misc_RNA from 1 species